rnacentral:rRNA from 1 species
AUGAACGCUGGCGGCGUGCCUAAUACAUGCAAGUCGAGCGAACAGACGAGGAGCUUGCUCCUCUGACGUUAGCGGCGGCCGGGUGAGUAACACGUGGAUAACCUACCUAUAAGACUGGGAUAACUUCGGGAAACCGGAGCUAAUACCGGAUAAUAUAUUGAACCGCAUGGUUCAAUAGUGAAAGACGGUUUUGCUGUCACUUAUAGAUGGAUCCGCGCCGCAUUAGCUAGUUGGUAAGGUAACGGCUUACCAAGGCAACGAUGCGUAGCCGACCUGAGAGGGUGAUCGGCCACACUGGAACUGAGACACGGUCCAGACUCCUACGGGAGGCAGCAGUAGGGAAUCUUCCGCAAAGGGCGAAAGCCUGACGGAGCAACGCCGCGUGAGUGAUGAAGGUCUUCGGAUCGUAAAACUCUGUUAUUAGGGAAGAACAAAUGUGUAAGUAACUAUGCACGUCUUGACGGUACCUAAUCAGAAAGCCACGGCUAACUACGUG